GGGUUGUGAGGUUAAGUGACUAAGCGUACACGGUGGAUGCCUAGGCAGUCAGAGGCGAUGAAGGGCGUGCUAAUCUGCGAAAAGCGUCGGUAAGGUGAUAUGAACCGCUAUACCCGACGAUACCCGAAUGGGGAAACCCAGUGCAAUCCGUUGCACUAUCGCAACAUGAAUACAUAGUGUUGCGAGGCGAACCGGGGGAACUGAAACAUCUCAGUACCCCGAGGAAAAGAAAUCAACCGAGAUUCCCCUAGUAGCGGCGAGCGAACGGGGAGGAGCCCAGAACCUGAAUCAGUUUGUGUCUUAGUGGAAGCGUCUGGAAAGUCGCACGACAGAGGGUGAUAGUCCCGUACACGAAGAGGCAUGAGUUGUGAGUUCGAUGAGUAGGGCGGGACACGUGUUAUCCUGUCUGAAUAUGGGGGGACCAUCCUCCAAGGCUAAAUACUCCUGACUGACCGAUAGUGAACCAGUACCGUGAGGGAAAGGCGAAAAGAACCCCGGCGAGGGGAGUGAAAUAGAACCUGAAACCGUGUACGUACAAGCAGUGGGAGCCUUGAUUAAUCAGGGUGACUGCGUACCUUUUGUAUAAUGGGUCAGCGACUUAUAUUCUGUAGCAAGGUUAACCGAAUAGGGGAGCCGCAGGGAAACCGAGUCUUAACUGGGCGUUAAGUUGCAGGGUAUAGACCCGAAACCCGGUGAUCUAGCCAUGGGCAGGUUGAAGGUUGGGUAACACUAACUGGAGGACCGAACCGACUAAUGUUGAAAAAUUAGCGGAUGACUUGUGGCUGGGGGUGAAAGGCCAAUCAAACCGGGAGAUAGCUGGUUCUCCCCGAAAGCUAUUUAGGUAGCGCCUCGUGAAUUCAUCUUCGGGGGUAGAGCACUGUUUCGACUAGGGGGCCAUCCCGGCUUACCAACUCGAUGCAAACUGCGAAUACCGAAGAAUGUUAUCACGGGAGACACACGGCGGGUGCUAACGUCCGUCGUGAAGAGGGAAACAACCCAGACCGCCAGCUAAGGUCCCAAAGUCAUGGUUAAGUGGGAAACGAUGUGGGAAGGCCCAGACAGCCAGGAUGUUGGCUUAGAAGCAGCCAUCAUUUAAAGAAAGCGUAAUAGCUCACUGGUCGAGUCGGCCCGCGCGGAAGAUGUAACGGGGCUAAACCAUGCACCGAAGCUGCGGCAGCGACACUUAGGUGUUGUUGGGUAGGGGAGCGUUCUGUAAGCCUGCGAAGGUGACCUGUGAGGGUUGCUGGAGGUAUCAGAAGUGCGAAUGCUGACAUAAGUAACGAUAAUGCGGGUGAAAAACCCGCACGCCGGAAGACCAAGGGUUCCUGUCCAACGUUAAUCGGGGCAGGGUGAGUCGACCCCUAAGGCGAGGCCGAAAGGCGUAGUCGAUGGGAAACAGGUUAAUAUUCCUGUACUUGGUGUUACUGCGAAGGGGGGACGGAGAAGGCUAGGUUAUCCGGGCGACGGUUGUCCCGGUUUAAGCGUGUAGGUGGAUGUUUUUGGUAAAUCCGGAACAUCAUUAACACUGAGGCGUGAUGACGAGUCACUACGGUGAUGAAGUGACCGAUGCCAAGCUUCCAGGAAAAGCCUCUAAGCUCCAGGUAACACGAAAUCGUACCCCAAACCGACACAGGUGGUCAGGUAGAGAAUACCAAGGCGCUUGAGAGAACUCGGGUGAAGGAACUAGGCAAAAUGGUGCCGUAACUUCGGGAGAAGGCACGCUGGCGUCGGUGAAGGGACUUGCUCCCGGAGCUGAUACCAGUCGCAGAUACCAGCUGGCUGCAACUGUUUAAUAAAAACACAGCACUGUGCAAACACGAAAGUGGACGUAUACGGUGUGACGCCUGCCCGGUGCCGGAAGGUUAAUUGAUGGGGUCAGCCGCAAGGCGAAGCUCUUGAUCGAAGCCCCGGUAAACGGCGGCCGUAACUAUAACGGUCCUAAGGUAGCGAAAUUCCUUGUCGGGUAAGUUCCGACCUGCACGAAUGGCGUAAUGAUGGCCAGGCUGUCUCCACCCGAGACUCAGUGAAAUUGAACUCGCUGUG
rnacentral:rRNA from 1 species